ensembl:lncRNA
CCGCGAACCCGCGGACGCGCGUGGAUCCCCCCCUCGAGGAGCUGCCUGCCUGCCCGCCCGGCCGGGGUGCCCGCGGUCGGCGUCGCGAUCGUACGGGCGGGUCGCGCUGCGGCGUGAAACGGCGCGUUUUCGAGGGAGAGCGGCUGAAAGAUGGGUGAAGAUUCUGUUACCGAUGAGUCCGCGUGCGCAACCUCUCAUCAAACGCAAGAGGUGCUCCCAGGAUCUCAGCAUCUCUCUCCCAUGGCAGGGACGGGAUAGGCAGCACGAGGGGAAGUUGCUUAUAAGCACCGUCGUGUAGCGUCAGAGCUGCAGGUUUGAAAGCUCUGAGAGCCAACCUCACAGAACCUUCCUGCUCUGAGGCACCAGCACCUUGCUCAUUCACGAAAUCACUCUGAGGAAGAAGGCAAAAUGAAUUUUUGCAUUAGGGACACAUCACUGGUUUCUCCGUAGUGCUGAUAACACAACUUUAGUGAAAAUCUCGGACCUUUUGCUACACAGAAUAACCAUGUUGCCCUGAAUGGUUAUUGUUUAGUGAAACAUCUGAAAACACAUAAUAGACUACUUGUUUGCAACGCUUGCUAUAGAUUUUGUAAUGAAGUGCCGUUGCGCUGCAUCAAUUUGACAGUUCGAGUUGAUAAUUUGACAGAAAGAUUAAUCCUAAACUCCCAGCAUAAACAGAAUUCCCUUUAAUGUCAGAAGGGACUUUGUAACUGCCAGCCCAAACGCUGCGGAUGGGCUUCAGCAGGUUACAGAGAGCGUCUUCAGGAUCAAAUUUGACAUUCCUCUUCCUGACUAACAGUUGGUAGUUGAAAAUAGAACACCUCUCCCAGUUCUGAAUUCUGACCCUCACUUCUUGCUCACCCAAACCGAGGACUUCCAGACUUCUUUUCCCAAACGCUCACCGCGAAGGCUUUUGAAUGCAGAUGUUCACUCGUGUCUCCUGACAGUAGGCUCAGUUUUCUCAGCUACUUUUAGUAAGCUCCUAAAAACAGCCCACGGUCCCUCAGAACCUCAUCAACAACUGGCUAAAAGCCACGGUCUCACUGUAUCCUUUUUUCUUUUGGUAUCUGCUACAGACUUUGGACAGGUACAAAAGUUCUACCUCUCUGGGUCCAGGUCUCUCUGUCUGACAGCACGUUAUUUCUGCAGCUGUCACAUCUCCUCAUUUUCUAGAGCUGUUAUUACCUUUACAUAAUACGUAUUAUUAUAUUACAUAUUCUUCAGAAGUUGUUCUUCCAGUGGCAACAUAUGGAGGACCAUCAACCGUCAAGACGGAAGUUCAUGCAACUGUCAAGACUGAAUUUCAUGCAUUCAGAAUGCUUAGGCACCAUCUGACACUCGUAGAGACCCUAACGUUAAAUACAUCUACUGAACUGUGACAGCACACAUUUCUUGUGUGAAAGCCUAUAUUUCUGAUAAGGAAACCUGGUUCAGCAGCGCUCAAUAUGGAUUCUGGAUAACAUCUUAAAGAGGCCAACCAGCCAUUCCGUGCAUACAGAAACACGCCUGUGAACUUCUCCCUGCAGUCAGCUCCUUCAGCUCCCCACUUCCACGCCAGUGAUGUUAUUUCACCCACACCUUGCAGAAGGGGCGCAUUCCACUCAUUCCUGAGCUGGGACGAGCGCCCGCAGCAUUACUCACCCACAGCAGUGUCUGUAGAUCCCUGUCUGCUGUGGAUACUAAUCUCAAUCCAGAGCUUCCUCAGACGAUUAGAGGCUGUUCUGCAAAAUGUCAAUACACAGCCUCUCCGAAGCCAACACGGUGUGGUGGUUGAAAUGGGAGCCGUGGAGGCUUUCCAAAUAUGAAGGUCUGGAAAUGUUUGGAGGUAUUUUAAUAUUGAUGAAUACUUCAGAUUUUUUUUUUUUCUGUUGCUUCAGUGUAUCAGUGUCAAAUCUGUGCGGAUUAAUGGCAAGACAGAGCCCUAGUACCAUUCGUGUCUAUCAAAGUUCUGGCAAAUGCUAACAACUUACUGCUAUUAAUGAUCACUCUUUGCCCAGAAGUUCACAUAAUUCAUCAAAAAGCCAACGUUGAUAAGCAGAAAGAAAUUAAAUACUUCUGAGUCUUCUGUUAAAAUGCCUUUCUUUUUACUUUGUUUAACAUCUAAUGUCUCCUACAGCAAAAGUAAGCAAGGGGAAGUCUUUUCCUUCUUCAGCACAAAAGAGCACCCACACCACUCAAAAACAGUUGAGAUUAAACCUUUGAAAAGGUAUCAGCAGUGUGUGUAAAGCCAAAUUGGUAAAGUGUGCCCUAGACACCACUUUUGACUCUGGGGAAAAUGCUUUAUCAUCUGUCUACUGCUACGCUCUGCCUAUUCAUCACCAUUACUCAGUAACUCUGCGGUGGCAGCUUUGUACUUAACAUGAAGCCAAAGAUCAGGGAGAGGCACACAUCAAACAAGACUUGAACUUGGAGAUGGCAAACCAUACGUUCUAGACCUCAUUCCUUUAAAGGACCGUACCUCGGAAUGAAACCUGUGAGCCUUUUCUAUAGUUUCAUUUGUUCAAUACAGUGCUCCACUUGUUCUGUAAAAGAAGUUGGCAAAAGCCCUGCUUUCCUGAGAUCUUGUCAUUCAUUGUGACUGAAACCUAAAAGGCUGUCCUAUGGUACUAAGGCAGGUCUGGGGUACCUGAGAGAUCUACCUGCUCCCUAUGCCUCCAUUCCACAUUCUUCACACACCUUGAAACCAAGGAACUGUCAAACACAGAAGCAAAGAUGGCGAGGGGUGUACACCCCCAUUCUUUGCAGCUUUCCAUGGCUGUAAAGUUCCCUGUGAAGUGACCCGAGAAUAUGUACAAUGACAGAAAACUCAUUUCUUCACUCGCCAUUUCUCAACAACAGCCAGUUCCAGCCCUUGUCAUUCUUCUACUUCUCCACACAGACGAAGGCAGGAGAGAAUUCUCUUGGUUUAACUUUAAUAAAUGGGUAAGUCUCACAGGCAUUACAAUGGUAGGAGGAGGUGCAGAAAAGUUGUGUGUGGUUGGGAUACGAUGGAAAUUUCUCUGUUAUUUUAAAAUUAUUUCUUCCUUUAUAAUAGAUCAUUUGUGCUUAUACACUCCUGAAAAUGCUUUUAUAGCAAUCUACAUCAAGUUCUUCCUAAAAAGCAUCCCUCCUCUUUUUGUCUUUUUGUGAAGAAUAGAUUUUUUUUUUACAAUAAAGAUAGUGGUUUAUACAUUUGCUCAUAAUUCUGUAUUUCCCCUGUGAGCUUUAUUACAUGAUAUAGUAUGUCAGUUUAAGUAACGUCUGUCAAGGGAUGGAAAACAAUUACAGGUUCUUUUCAUUCAUGAAAGUCAUUCUGGAGUUUCUUCAUCCUUAAUUUUCUUGUCAUGCUUUCAAAAACAUUACAUCAUUUUGUCCAAAUUCCCCCCUGCAUUGCUUAUACAAGAUACAGUAGGUUAUUAAUUUCUUUCCUAGACCCAAAGAAACACAUCGAAGUAUCUACAGUCGCACGUACUACAUGUUUUAGACCUGGUUAAAGUUGGGCUUUGACAUGUCGUUAUUUGACAAUUACUCUUCUAUUGCAGUGCUUGCUUUCCUGCCAGCAUCUCGCCAGAAUCCUGCAUGACAGGUGAUUCAAUCUCUUGAUCUCAGUUAGAUUUACACGAAUUUUACGCACCCUAAUAUAUAAUGGCAAUGCAUUCACACUGCUGUGGCUAAAAGUCUGUCGAAAUCCCAAACACAUCGUGAGAAUACAUAACAAAUAUAUUCAGGACUAGAACAUGUCAUAUAUUAUCAGCACAGGAAAACAUUCUUUGUUCUUAGAAUCAAAGAACAGCGGAGACUGAAAGGCUCUUGUGAAGAGGAACCUAACUUCCCUCCUCAAUGGUGAGUGUGUUGCUUAUGGCUGUGUUCAGUAAUGUUUCAAAUAUCUCCAAGGCAACCACAGCUUCUCAGGACAACCUGCUCCAGAGUUUGUUCACCCUUACAGUAAAAAGGGUUUAUCUUACAUUUAAAUGGAAUUUGCUGCAUUUCAAUUUGUGCCUGUUGCUGCUUGACUUUUCACUGAGAGGAGUGUGGCUCCACCUUCUCUUCCCCCUCCCAUCAGAUGUUUCUACACACCGAUGAAAUGCCCCCUGAGCCUCCUCCAGGUUGAGCAGACUUGGAUCUCUAAGCCUCUUCUCUUACAUCAGAUGGUGAGAAAUCAUAGGAAGAGACACAAGGAGGCGAAAUGUAUGUGCUCCACCCUGAUAGGAUGCAGUCACAAGGGCUGAGGAUGCUGGCAGAAGUGACUGCCAAACUACUCUCUAUCAUUUUUGAAAGGAGAUCAUGGAGAAUGGGAGAGGUGCCUGAAGGCUGGAGAAAAACUGAUGUCACAAAGGGCAAGAAGGAGGACCUGUGAAACUAAAGGCCAGUCAGCCUCACAUCCAUCCCCAGGAAGGUGAUGGAACAACUUACAUGCAACCUGCUCUAGGGAAACUGCUUUAGCAGUGGCGUUGCACUAGAUGAUCUCCAAAGCUUCCUUCCAGCCCUGUGAUUCUGUGAUUGUGUGAUUCUGUGAUACUUUAGAAUGUCACUGUCCGAACUAGAACCCAGUUCUUAUGUCCUGUAGGACAGCCCUGCCACUGCUGGAACACGUAAUGUAAAAUUUUUGCUGGGGGAAAACAAGCGAGUCUCCCUUUGGACUAGCUUGACUUUGAGCUCACUCACGAAAAACCAAUGACCUUUGAAAGAAUACAGAGAUGGCACCACUGACAGAUUUUUCCCCAGUUGGCUGCAAAUAAAGUUAUUUGAAAUAACUGCUAAAGCUGUAAUUUAUCAGACUUUUUCACAGAUUCCACAAAAGCUAGGAAACUCGAAAGGCUUUCUCCAGGCAGAACAUGCCAGUCAUUUGUGCAUGAAUUGCAAGAGGGGAAAUUAUAUGUUUCUUUUAGAGCUGUUGUUGCCAUCGUGGAAAGUGAACAAGCAUCUGUGCUUCAGAAAUCAGUGGAAGGAAGGUGUUCCGUGAAAGAGAGCAUGUGGGAAAGCGACUUGAAAUUGUGAGAGUAUAUGAAAGUAGCAGGAGUUCUGAAUGCCACUGGGGAGAAGAACUGGAACAAGGCUGACACAUGGAAAGGUGGUGAGAAAGCAAAAAGAAAUGUAAAGAGGAAUAUACUGAAGGGGGAAAAAAGAGAGAGAGAGAGAGAGAGAGAGAGAAAAAAAUUUGGCUAGGGAAUAGGUCUGAGCAAAUUCCAAAAGUGAGAGAGGAACAGAAAAAGAAGGAAAAAAUAUAGGGCAGAUGGAAGGUUUAUCUGUUGGAUAACUGUGCA